CACCAACAAAACUGAGGUUUACAGAUGAAGUGCAGCUUAUCUGUGAUGUUCUUUUUCCAGAGGCCAUCAUACAUGCUCUGGGAGUCUUGAGGGGUUUGUCUUUAGAUGAUGCUGAGCAGGUCUACCUUUCUGGCACAAAAUAUCAUUACAGUGAAGUAGAAUAAUUUAGUCGAAAAAUUGACAAAAAAUCUAGGAAAGAAGGGAGACCAUUCAAUAGGUGGGUAUUGCUCUUAUAUACCUAAAAAUUUGCAGCUGGCAGUUGGGUGUCCUUUUUGGUUCUCCUAACAGUGCAUAAGUUUAAACCAGAAAUAUAUAUUACAGUUAAACAUGGUAAAAUAUAUUUUUUAUUACUUAUAAUAAAUAUUAAUUUAAAUUUAAUUGCAUAAC